rnacentral:rRNA from 1 species
GACGAACGCUGGCGGCGUGCUUAACACAUGCAAGUCGAACGGAAAGGCCCUGCUUUUGUGGGGUGCUCGAGUGGCGAACGGGUGAGUAACACGUGAGUAACCUGCCCUUGACUUUGGGAUAACUUCAGGAAACUGGGGCUAAUACCGGAUAGGAGCUCCUGCUGCAUGGUGGGGGUUGGAAAGUUUCGGCGGUUGGGGAUGGACUCGCGGCUUAUCAGCUUGUUGGUGGGGUAGUGGCUUACCAAGGCUUUGACGGGUAGCCGGCCUGAGAGGGUGACCGGCCACCUUGGGACUGCGAUACGGCCCAGACGCCUACGGGAGGCAGCAGGGGGGAAUAUUGCACAAUGGGCGGAAGCCUGAUGCAGCAGCGCCGCGUGCGGGAUGACGGCCUUCGGGUUGUAAACCGCUUUCGCCUGUGACGAAGCGUGAGUGACGGUAAUGGGUAAAGAAGCACCGGCUAACUACGUG